rnacentral:rRNA from 1 species
GACGAACGUUGGCGGCGUGCCUAAUACAUGCAAGUCAACUGAAGCAGUGGUAGCAAUAUCGCUGUGGAGGUGGCGCACGGGUGAGUAACACGUAGGUAAUCUGCCUUCAGGUCUGGCAUAACUCCGGGAAACCGGGGCUAAUAGCAGAUGAUGCAGCGGCUCGACAUCGAGACAGUUGUUAAAGCUAUGGCGCCUGAAGAUGAGCCUGCGUCUGAUUAGCUAGUUGGCGGGGUAACGGCCCACCAAGGCAACGAUCAGUAGCUGGUCUGAGAGGAUGAUCAGCCACACUGGAACUGAGACACGGUCCAGACUCCUACGGGAGGCAGCAGUAAGGAAUAUUGCUCAAUGGGAGAAAUCCUGAAGCAGCAACGCCGCGUGAGGGACGAAGGGCUUUUGCUUGUAAACCUCUGUAGUGAGAGAAAAAAAUCCCAAUCUUUGGGACAUGAUGGUAUCUCAAAAGUAAGCCCCGGCUAACUACGUG